UAUAUAUAUGUUAUUUACCGGCUGCGAGGUCCGGAUGAGAAAAACUGUGCCCGAGGUCUUGAAAACGGUCCGAGCCCGAACUGUGCCCGAGGUCUUGAAAACGGCCCGAGCCCGAAGUGCGAGGGACGUUUUCAAGACCGAGGGCACAGUUUUUCUCAUCCGGACCGACGCUGCCGGUAAAUAACGUGUUUAUU